UACGGAGGGGGCGAGCGUUAUUCGGAAUUAUUGGGCGUAAAGGGCGCGUAGGCGGCCGAUCAAGUCGGGGGUGAAAGCCUGUGGCUCAACCACAGAAUUGCCUUCGAUACUGUUUGGCUUGAGACCGGAAGAGGUAAGUGGAACUGCGAGUGUAGAGGUGAAAUUCGUAGAUAUUCGCAAGAACACCAGUGGCGAAGGCGACUACCUGGCCUGUUCUUGACGCUGAGGCGCGAAAGCUAGGGGAGCAAACGGG
rnacentral:rRNA from 1 species